UGAUAGGUCGGGUGUGUAAGCGCAGCGAUGCGUUGAGCUAACCGAUACUAAUGAACCGUGAGGCUUAACCUU
rnacentral:rRNA from 1 species